UACGAAGGGUGCAACCGUUGCUCGGAAUUAUUGGGCGUAAAGCGCACGUAGGCGGCUUGGCAAGUCGGAUGUGAAAGCCCUCGGCUCAACCAAGGAAGUGCAUCCGAAACUGCUGAGCUUGAGUACUUAAGAGGAUCGCGGAAUUCCCGGUGUAGAGGUGAAAUCCGUAGAUAUCAGGAGGAACAUCGGUGGCGAAGGCGACUUUCUGGCUCGUUUCUGACGCUCAGACGCGAAAGCGUGGGGAGCAAACAGG
rnacentral:rRNA from 1 species